rnacentral:rRNA from 1 species
CACCGCCCGUCACGCCAUGGAAGUGGUGAGCGCCCGAAGUCCGUGUCGGAACCCGACCAAGGGCCGAAGCGCCGAAGGCGAGCAUCAUGACUGGGGCG